rnacentral:rRNA from 1 species
CACAUGCAGUCGAACGAUGACGGAGGAGCUUGCUCCUCCUGAUUAGUGGCGAACGGGUGAGUAAUACGUGAGCAAUGUGCCCUUGACUCUGGGAUAAGCGCUGGAAACGGCGUCUAAUACCGGAUACGACGAUCGGAGGCAUCUCCUGGUCGUGGAAAGAACUUCGGUCAAGGAUCAGCUCACGGCCUAUCAGUUAGUUGGUGAGGUAAUGGCUCACCAAGACGACGACGGGUAGCCGGCCUGAGAGGGUGACCGGCCACACUGGGACUGAGACACGGCCCAGACUCCUACGGGAGGCAGCAGUGGGGAAUAUUGCACAAUGGGCGCAAGCCUGAUGCAGCAACGCCGCGUGAGGGACGAAGGCCUUCGGGUUGUAAACCUCUUUUAGCAGGGAAGAAGCGAAAGUGACGGUACCUGCAGAAAAAGCACCGGCUAACUACGUGCCAGCAGCCGCGGUAAUACGUAGGGUGCAAGCGUUGUCCGGAAUUAUUGGGCGUAAAGAGCUCGUAGGCGGUUUGUCACGUCUGCUGUGAAAACCCGAGGCUCAACCUCGGGCUUGCAGUGGGUACGGGCAGACUAGAGUGCGGUAGGGGAGAUUGGAAUUCCUGGUGUAGCGGUGGAAUGCGCAGAUAUCAGGAGGAACACCGAUGGCGAAGGCAGAUCUCUGGGCCGUAACUGACGCUGAGGAGCGAAAGCAUGGG